rnacentral:rRNA from 1 species
GGCCGCGAUUCGCCCUUGGGGUGCCCAGGCGCGAAAACUUUGCAAUACACGAAAGUGUGACAGGGCUAUCCCGAGUGCCAUCCGCUGAGGAAGGCUUUUACCCAGUCUAGAGCGCUGGGGGAAUAAGGAGAGGGCAAGUCUGGUGUCAGCCGCCGCGGUAAUACCAGCUCUCCGAGUGGUGUGGAUGUUUAUUGGGCCUAGAGCAUCCGUAGCUGGCUAAGUUAGUCCCUUGUUAAAUCCACCGAAUUAAUCGUUGGAUUGCGGGGGAUACUGCUUGGCUAGGGGACGAGAGAGGCAGACGGUAUUUCCGGGGUAGGGGUGAAAUCCUAUAAUCCCGGGAAGACCACCAGUGGCGAAGGCUGUCUGCUAGAACGCGCCCGACGGUGAGGGAUGAAAGCUGGGGGAGCGAACCGGAUUAGAUACCCGGGUAGUCCCAGCUGUAAACGAUGCAGGCUAGGUGUUUGGACGGCCACGUGCCGUUCUAGUGCCGCAGGGAAGCUGUUAAGCCUGCCGCCUGGGGAGUACGAUCGCAAGAUUGAAACUUAAAGGAAUUGGCGGGGGAGCA